rnacentral:lncRNA from 1 species
AUCAUCUGCUGUUCUCUGCCGCAGAGAGGACUGGAGGUUCUUGCUUGGCUUCACUUUAAACCAUUUAAUCGGGGGUCUGGAGAUUUCGCUCUUCACUGUUUUUCCUGGCGCAAGCUUUUCCUGUUUCGCAUUUGUCUACUCACUCUCCCGCCUAUCUACCCCCCAUUCCUAUUUAUCCAUCCAGUAAACCUACAUUGAAUGAGUGGUUAUUAUGUGUCAUGUGUAAAGUAGGGAAAACCGGGUUCCUCCUGCCCUCAAAGAGGUUCUGGUCUGGGAAAGGAAAUAAGAUAUGUAUACUCUCAAAAGACAAAAUUACAAGAAAUGUAGUUAUAGAUUUUUUUUCUUUAUUUUAUUAUUUUUUAUUAUUAUACUUUAAGUUCUAGGGUACAUGUGCACAACGUGCAGGGUUGUUACAUAUGUAUACAUGUGCCAUGUUGGUGUGCUGCACCCAUUAACUCGUCAUUUACAUUAGGUAUAUCUCCUAAUGCUAUCCCUUCCCCCUCUCCCCACCCCACAACAGGCCCCGAAGUGUGAUGUCCCCCUUCCUGUGUCCAAGUGUUCUCAUCGUUCAGUUCCCACCUAUGAGUGAGAACAUGUAAUGUUUGUUUUUUUGUCCUUGCGAUAGUUUGCUGAGAAUGUUGGUUUCCAGCUUCAUCCGUGUCCCUACAAAGGACAUGAACUCAUCAUUUUUUAUGGCUGCAUAGUAUUCCAUGGUGUAUAUAUGCCACAUUUUCUUAAUCCAGUCUGUCAUUGUUGGACAUUUGGGUUGGUUCCAGGUCUUUGCUAUUGUGAAUAGUGCUGCAAUAAACAUACAUGUAAAUGUGUCUUUAUAGCAGCAUGAUUUAUAAUCCUUUGGGUAUAUACCCAGUAAUGGGAUGGCUGGGUCAAAUGGUAUUUCUAGUUCUAGAUCCCUGAGAAAUCUCCACACUGUCUUCCACAAUGGUUGAACCAGUUAACAGUCCCACCAACAGUGUAAAAGUGUUCUUAUUUCUCCACAUCCUCUCCAGCAGCUGUUGUUUCCUGACUUUUUAAUGGUCGCCAUUCUAACUGGUGUGAGAUGGUAUCUCAUUGUGGUUUUGAUUUGCAUUUCUCUGAUGGCCAGUGAUGAUGAGCAUUUUUUCAUGUGUCUGUUGGCUGCAUAAAUGUCUUCUUUUGAGAAGUGUCUGUUCAUAUCCUUCGCCCACUUGUUGAUGGGGUUGUUUGUUUUUUUCUUGUAAAUUUGUUUGAGUUCAUUGUAGAUUCUGGAUAUUAGCUCUUUGUCAGAUGAGUAGAUUGCAAAAAUUUUCUCCCAUUCUGUAGGUUGCCUGUUCACUCUGAUGGUAGUUUCUUUUGCUGUGCAGAAGCUCUUUAGUUUAAUUAGAUCCCAUUUGUCAAUUUUGGCUUUCGUUGUCAUUGCUUUUGGUGUUUUAGACAUGAAGUCCUUGCCCAUGCCUAUGUCCUGAAUGGUAUUGCCUAGGUUUUCUUCUAGGGUUUUUAUGGUUUUAGGUCUAACAUGUAAGUCUUUAAUCCAUCUUGAAUUGAUUUUUGUAUAAGGUGUAAGGAAGGGAUCCAGUUUCAGCUUUCUACAUAUGGCUAGCUAGUUUUCCCAGCACCAUUUCAAAAACGAUGGUUAGAUCCCACGAAGUAGGUGGUAAUGCCUUAACCGUAUGCGUGUUGUCAGGCCCAAGGGCCUCUUCCAUCCUUGUCAAAGGGAGUGCUAACCUUCUCUCCUUUAAUACAACACAGUUACAGAUCUUAACUGGCUAUUUGCGAUUCUAGCACCAGGCAACACCUUAUUCUAUAAAAUAGAAUGAGUAUUCUGAUGAGCUGAGCAGAGGAGAUUAUCUUUAUAGACAGAAAAGGGCUGAAAAAAAAAAGCAGAAACAAAGAACAAGUUUCAAAGUUAUUUUACUUGUAUUGGUUAAGGCAGAAGGGACUUCCUUUAUCAUGGGGAUAUGGCUAUUUUCCCUCUCUUCUGAUUUCUCCUAAGGUCAGAUGAGCAGCUUAAUUUUGGCUUUGUGGCUUGGAACUUUAGCAUGAGUGACUCUAUUUUGGUUUGGCCUGUUGCGCCUAGUGCAGGAGCUCAGUCCAAACCAAUGGCUUUCUAUGAAUUUUAUUUAUCAAGACAAACAUUCUAGAAGGUAGAAAAUCCAAAGAGAUUGAGCUGAGCUGGGGGUCGUCUCUAGGAGGAGAUUUAGGAGAGACUUAAUGAAGGGGUGGCAUUUGAGCUGGGACUGGGUUUGGACACUUCUCUGUCUCCACAUAGGCUAUCCCGUUUCCAUCCUCCAAGCUUAUCUACUAUUCCUCCCAAGGCAGGAGACAUUCUUUUCUUGGACAAGUUGAUACUUCUCUUUUCCUGGAUCCUGGAUCCCACCCAGUUUUGUGUCCCAAGAGACUGUCCACCCAUGUACAUUCUUUUCCUAAAAUUAUUUUUUUCACUUUUUCUAUAAUUGAGCAUCUACAAUGUACCAUGCACAGAUACUGGAGAUAGGAACACAAGCAAGACACAGCCCUAAAACCUCCCAUAUCUCUCAUGGUCUGUUGGGAGAACUAAUCAUACCCUCAAGCUACAUUAUUAAGUAGAAUACAUGCUACAAUUGAUACAAAGUACCAUUUCCGUGGGAAGGGCAAGAACGGUUCAUGGACAAAAUAGCAUAUGAAUAAGACCUUCAAGAAUCAAUAGAAUUUUAACAGUGUCUUGUAUAUACUAACCACUCUGAAAAUGUUUAUUGUGUCUGCCUGGUAGAGAUGAAGAGGAGGGCAUUUGAGGCUGAGGGAAUAGCUUGAGCAAAGGCAAACAGAAGGAAAGAACAUGAAUCUCCUCUGGCUGGAUUCAGGGUGUUUGGGGCAAUAAUAGUAGUCGAAGAAAGGUUAGAACGAGAUCAUAGGAAUUUUUUUUUCUUUCUUUCUUUCUUUUUUUUGAGAUGGAGUCUCGCUCUGUUGCUCAGGCUGGAAUGCAAUGGUGCAAUCUUGGUUCACUGCAACCUCCGCCUCCUGGGUUCAAGCAAUUCUCCUGCCUCAGCCUCCCGAGUAGCUAGGAUUACAGGCACCCACCACCACGCCCAGCUAAUUUUUGUAUUUUUAGUAGAGACAGGGUUUCACCAUGUUGGUCAGGCUGGUCUCGAACUCCCGACCUCAGAUGAUCCACCCGCUUUGGCCUCCAAAGUGCUGGGGUUACAGGCGUGAGCCACUGCGCCUGGCCAGGAAAUCUUAAAUGUCAGAUUGGGUUUUUCUUUAUAGAUUUUUAUUCUGCGGGUAGUUGGAAGCUAUCAGAAAAAUCUAUCAGAGGAUAGUAAUGUAAAAAAUUUCUCAAAUAAUUUUCAUGCCUAUGUCUUGUUUUCCUUUGGGUCUCAUGGCAUCCCUGGGAGGUGGAUAAGGCAGAUAAGGAAAUUGAAGUCCAGAAGAUCUCCCUUCUGCCUCUCAGUCUCUUAAGUCUUUAUACGUAUUUAGGCCUUCCUCUAAAUAGAAGAAAAUGCCACUCUCCAGCUUACUGCAUUUUUAACUUAUAUCCCAUUUUUUCUUUUUCUUGUAUGGCUAAACCACUUGGAUAAUUGAUAUAUACUGCUGAUAUUCUCUUGGCAUGACUUACCCUCCAGCCUCUCCUUCAUUUUACUAGAACGUUUUCUAGGCUCACCAGAGUCCACUUGACUUAGUCCAUUGGUCUCCUUCCAUAAAUCAUCCUACAUUAUAGAUUCAUUGAGCUGAUAACUGUGUGUCAAGCACAAUGCAAGGGCUGAUAUACAAAGAUGAGUAAGACACCACCUUACCAUAGAAGCUCUUUAAUAUACUGGGAGGUAAACAUCUAUACAGAUAAUUAGAAUCCUAUGUGGUGAGUGUGGGGUACAGUAAUUGGGAACUGUGGGAUGACAAGGAGGGAACACUUAGCCCAGUUUGGUGACUCAAGAGAGAUUCAAAGAGGAGAUGAUACCUAAACUGAAUCUUGGAAGAUAAGGCCAGUGGGGAAAACAUCCCAGGAAGAGGAAACAGCGUACACAAAAGCAAAGAUAUAUGAUGUGCAGGGGAAACUACAAGCAGUUUGAAGUUACUAGAACAUAAUGCACAAAAAGACAAAGGACAAGGCCAGAAAGGUAGCUUGUGGCCAAGUCAGUCUAAGGAGCUUGGACUUCAUUCUGUAGGAGGGAGGGAGCUGCAGUCCAAUGACCCUUGUGGUUCAGGGGGAGCUAUUUCAUUAGUACUUCAUUGGUGAGUAGUGCUCUGGGAAAUUGUAUGUGUGUGUGUGUGUGUGUGUGUGUGUGUGUGUGUGUGUGUGUCUGCCUGCUAUAUCUCUAUCAGGUUGGUGCAAAAAUAAUUGUGGUUUUGCAAUUACUUUUAAUGGCAAACCAUAAUUACUUUUGCACCAACCUAAUACCUACAUACCUACCUAUUUAUCUAUCACGUUGACAGGACUGUAUCUAGGUUUUGUGGAGCCCCAAGCAAAUGUUUUUGUGGGCCCAGUCUGUAUAUGCAAUUUGAUUAAAAACUGUGUUAUAGGCCGGGGGCGGCGGUUCACGCCUGUAAUCCCAGCACUUAGUGAGGCCAAGGUGGGCGGAUCACGAGGUCAAGAGAUCAAGACCUUCCUGGCCAACAUGGUGAAACCUCUUCUCUACUAAAAAUACAAAAACUAGCUGGGCAUGGUGGCACGUGCCUGUAGUCCCAGCUACUCGGGAGGCUGAGGCAGGAGAAUUGCUUGAACCCGGGAGGCGGAGGUUGCGGUGAGCUGAGAUCGCGCCGCUGCACUCUAGCCUGGGCGACAGAGCGAGAUUCCGUAUCAAAAAACAAACAAACAAACAAAACUGUGUUAUAAAAUUCAUGGACUCGUGAAGAAUAGUGAUUUAACAACAAAGAUUUAGAAUAAUUAGUAGAGAAAAGUACUUAGAUAUUUGUUUAUUGUCUAAUAAGUGCAUGUGAAUAUUCUUUACAGUGUUCAGGCACCAUCGCUUUCUGUCUGGGUCCAGGAACUAUCUCUUUAUGUUAUUGUCAAAUGUGCUAUUUCUCACUAGUUUCUGGCUACAUGAGAAAAGGGGAACAACAUUGUUAUUCAAAUACCAUGACUCUUCAGAACCUGUUUGUAUUGGCCUAUGUAGCUUUCUUUGCCCCUCCAGUUCCUAAUGCUAUUUAUUUAAAGCUGGUACUGCAGAGAGUCCCCACUAGGGCAACGCCAAGCGGAAAUGUGGGAUUGGAGCCACCACAUAGUCUGCAGUAGGGCAGUGCCUAGUGAAGCAGCGGGAAUGGAGCCAUCUCCAAGACCACAAAACUGUAGUCCUACCAGUAUGCAACUCCAGCCUGGGAACUGUAGGCAGGAGACUCAAUCCAUCAGAGCUGCUGCAUGGACCGAGCCUAGAAAGGCUGUAGAGGUGGGACUGCCCAAAGCUUUGGGGAACCAGCCUCCCAGCAUGUCCAGGAGUGGGACAUGAAUCAGAGAUUAUUCUCUAGCUUUAAGACUUAAUGUUGUUUUCCCUGUUGGGUUUUGGACUUACUUGGGACCAGUUACCCUUCUUUUCUUGCCUAGUUCUCACUUUUGGAAUGGGAAUGUCUAUCCUAUGCCUGUACCACCAUUGUAGUUUGGAAAAAGAUAACUUGUUUUGAUUUCACAGGCUCACAGCUGGAGGAAUUUGCCUUGGGAUGAAUCAUGCCUUGAGUCUCACCUAUAUCUGAUUUAGAUGAGACUUUGGACUUCAGGCUUUUGAGUUGAUGCUGGAUUGAGUUAAGACUUUUGGGACUAUUGGGAUGGAAUGAAUACAUUUUGCAAGUGAGAAGGACAUAAAUUUGGCUGGGGGGCAGGGGGAGAAUUUUAUGCUUUGAAUGUGUCCCCCCCAAAUUCAUAUGUUGGAAACUUGGCUGCCAUUGUGGCAGUACUGAAAGGUGGGGCCUUUGGGAGGCAAUUGGGUCACAAGGACAGAGCCUUCAUGAAUGGAUUGAUGUUGUUACUACAGGAGUGGACUCCUGAUAAAAGGAUAAGUUUGGCUGCCAUUGUCUGUCUGUUUCAUGUACUAACUUCUGCCUUUCACUUUUCCAUCAUGGGAUGAACUUCACCAGAUGACGGUGCCAUGCUCUUGGACUUACCAACCUCCAGAACUGUGAGCUGAAUAAACGUCUUUUCUUUAAACAUUACCCAGUGUGUGGUAUUCUAUUAUGGCAGCAGAAAAUAGACUAAGACAGCUGGUUGUGUUGAUAAUGCCAUUUAUUUAAUGCUGGUUACAUCAUUACUCAUGAUGCUGCACAAUUCUUCACUCUACGUACAAAUACUGGCUUCAUAACUCAAAGUUUGUUCCUGUGCUUCUUUAGUGAUGACACCAAUGGCAAGUUUUGCUUAGAGUAUGCAGAAAAAUGUGAAUAAAAUUUCGCCGAUCAGAGUUUUAUAUGUAUGUUUACAACAAUAUAUCAUCCAACCACAUCUUCUCUUGAGUUCUUUAGGCCUUAAUCACUGAAUUCCUAGAAGGUGAUUUCUUUCAGUGUUGACUGCACCCCUGCCUUCCACACACUGAAAUCAGUUGUCAGGGGAGGGAGUGGAUAGGCUCAGGGCCCAUGGGUGGAGCAAGAAGAGAAGUUCCAUUCAUGUAAGGAACAUCUGGCCCUCACCUGGAACAGCUUAAAACCAACCCAGUAUCUCAUGAGAUCACUAUAUUGAUCAGAGGCAAGAGAGGACAUUGAUUGUAAAAGCUGGUUGGCCUUACAGCAUAAUGGUCUUGAAUGGAGAAGAUAGGCGUGGCCACUUCUGGAGGAUUGCCUGACAUGUGUUGCAAAGCCUUGGAGAGGGGUGAACACCUUGUACCAGCUGGAGGUGGGGUACCCCAGCAGUCAGGUUAAAGGAUGCAUCCACUCUCAUUAUUGUGUCAUGUCAGAGGUGGCACUGUGGUCAUAAAUGUGGUGAGAGCCAGGGCAUUGACCCACACAGGUGGCUCAACCUCAAGGGUUGGUGGUGAACUGUUAGUAGCCCAGAGUUCUGAACUCAUAUAUCCAAUGUGAAUCACCCCAAAUUAGCCAAUCAGUACCAUUCUAGUGGCCCAGUAUUGUUCAAUGCCAUAAAAUAAAUACUGUGCUGGUCAGCAGAAGCAAUCUACUUGUCAGGUUGCCCUGGACAACCCCAUAGGCAUGAGCCCUGAACCGCCUCAGGGCAUUUGGCCAACCACACAGAUCAAGAGGUGGGUCACAGAGUACUCUGAAGAGAAACCAACUGGGAUGAUCCCAGCCACUGAAGAGAACUUAGAAUAUUUCAAGAAGAGCACUCAAAAGUGUGGGGUCCCCUGAGAAUCUGGCCUGGGGCCUGAGCUAGGGACCCUGCUUGCCUAGGUCUUAGGGCAAAUUGUGUAAUAAAAUAGAGAUGAUCUCAUAUUCUUUGCUACUGCUACCAUUGAGAGGUGGAGUCUAGUUUUAUUCCCUCUAAACCUGCGCUGGUCUUAAUGACUUCCUGGACCAACAGAAUAUGAAAGAAGUGAAAUUCUGGGAUUUUCAAGGCCAGGUUAUAAGAAGCCCUGCAGCUUCCACUCAGCUUCUUGCAGCACUUACUCUGGGAGCCCCAGCCAUCAUGGAAGAAGCCCAGCAACCUGAGGCCACCAUGCUGGAAAGGCCACGUGUAGGGGCUCCCGUUACCAUUCCCAGCUGAGUCCAGUCUUCCAGCCAUUCCCACCAAGGCAUCAUACAUGUGGGCAAAGCCAUAUCGUACCCUCUGUGUCUAUCUGUCAGCUGAAUCCUACUGUGUGACCUCUGUAGACUCCAUCUGAAAUAGAAUUGCCCAGCUGAGCCUCUGGUUGAAUUCCUGUCCCACAAAAUCAAGAGAUAUAGUAAAAUGGAUGAAUUUUAAGCCACUGACUUUUGGGCUAGUUUGUUAUGCAGCAAUAGAUAACCAACCUCAAAGAGUUUCUCAUGUAGUUGGGAUGAGAGGGUACAGGGCUUAUGAAAAUAUAACAGUGCAAGACAGUGUACGAGUGUGUAAUGAGUAGUAAGGACAAUUAAGUUCUAUCAGAAUGCAGGAAAGAAAGAUCCCUUUGAAUUAUUAUGACAAAGGAAGACUUUCUAGAGUAGAUGUGAUUUCAGCUGGACCUUGAACUACAAGGAUGUAUGGAAAGGCAGGCACAGGGCAUUCCUGGCAGGCAGUGAGAUAAAGUUGGAAUGGGUAUAGGUAGACCCAGGAGGCAAUCUGUGUGGUUUCUCUUGGCUAAGGCAAAGAGUUUCUUUUCUUUCCUUUUUCUUUUCCUUUUUUUUUUUUUUUUUUUUUUUGAGGUGGAGUCUCGCUCUGCCCCACAGGCUGGAGUACAGUGGCAUGAUCUAAGCUCACUGCAACCUCCGCCUUCCGGGUUCAAGAGAUUUUCCUGCCUCAGCCUCCCGAGUAGCUGGGACUACAGGCAUGCACCACUACGCCUGGCUAAUUUUUUUGUAUUUUUAGUAGAGACAGGGUUGCACCAUGUUGGUCAGGCUGGUCUCGAACUCCUGACCUCAGGUGAUCCACUUGCCUCGGCCUCCCAAAGUGCCGGGAUUACAGGCGUGAGCCACUGCGCCCAGCCGAAAUAGGAUAAUUCUAUUAUCCCUUCUCUUAAACUAUUAGUGGCCCCCCUACUCUCCUGGCCUGGUCACUCCCCUUCCCAGCGCACUUUCGGAUUAUUUUUCCUCCUGGCCGCCCCGCUAUUGUGUCCCACCUGUGCCAAUGCUCACAUGCCACCUUGCACCGUUG